ensembl:lncRNA
GGGGCUCCGGCGGGGGGGGGCCCUCCACGGCCAGGGGCGCGCUGUACAUGUCCUCGUCGUCGGGGCCGCCUAGCGACAGGGAGCCAAGGCUGGGGUACUCGAGCUCCUGCAGGCCCUCGCGGCGGUAGAACUGCUUCAGGGCCGCGAUGUUCACCACGUCCUGCGGCAUCAGCUGCGACUCGGCGGCCGAGGCCUCCACGCGACACCCCGUCAGCGCGGAUAGCGCCUCCAGACACAGGGUUUAAGAUAUGAAAGAUGGAUUAAUGAGUCUGGAGUUGGAGAGCCCUCAACUCAAGGCGAUCAUUCACUCGGUCUGAAGUGAAUGAAAGUUUGACGUGAAGUUCUUCCCGGGGGGAGUCCGCCGUUGGUGUGUGAAUGUGGGUAUGAAUGGUUCUAAGUUCCUCUGGAUAAAAGUGUCUGCUAAAUACACUAUUGUAAAUGUAAAUACAAAUG